AUCCAAAUUAUGGAAAGAUCCCCAUUCAGAAAACCCCAGGUCCUGAGCAUUCUGGAUAACAGGUCCCAUAUCUGUAGCUUCAAUCAGAAACGAACAUCCAAGGAAAUAGUAAUUUAGAAGAUCCUUCUAAAGUACAGCUAAAUGCUACUUCUUCCUUCUACUUCUACUUCUUACUUCUUCCUGCAAGCAUUAAACUAACAUUCUCCCACUGAGGGUAUAAGUAAUCUGUUUUAUUUAAAUUCCAAAUGCCUAACUUCAGGUUUAGUGAGUAUGGGACAUAUGUAGUAAAGCAUAUAUUUUCUCCUCUUCUUACUCUGCCAGGGCAAUGUUCCAAAAUUUUGCUGGCAAAAAUACUCCUCCCCUGAUUUAAAAAAUGUUUAGAUGACUUUAUAUGGCAAAUUCUUCCUCUUUGCUCCAUAAGGACAAACAUAUUUCAUCCUAUGCCUGUAUCAACCAUGACUGGCUAGAAACCAGUGUGUCAGCUAACAGGUAAACAAGCUGUAGCAUAGAAAUGUUUCACUUGGGGGAACUCUAGAUUGAAUUAUGUGGUAACUUAAUGCUUAUAAGACAAUAAGCCAGCAAUAAACAUGACUAACCAAUAACAUUUAUCUUUGCAGAUGAGCAGAAAACCAACCUUCUAACACAAAUCACAAUUAUAAAACAGACACUGGAUGUGCAGAAAACCACCCUUCUAACACAAAUCACAACCAUAAAGGAGACACUGGAUUCCCAUAUAUCUGAGGCUAAUAACAGUAUUAGGCAGGACAUCUUACAGACAAUACAAAAAGACAAACCCCAGUGUGACUCUGGCUGGAAAGCAUUUGAUGGAGGCUGUUAUUAUAUUGUUACCACUCAGAAGAACUGGGUGGAUGCCCAGGCCAUUUGUAAAACAAUGAACAGUGAUCUGGUUAUUGUCAACAGUGACAGGAAAAA